CAAAACAAGCAGGAUGUGCAAACUUUAUGUUAAAUUUACAUCAUGUUUUUUAACGAGUUCUGAAACGAGUCUAGAUUGUCUCGCAGAGGUGGAUUUACAGUGGAGAGUGGAGCAUGGAUUAAAGAAUUGACUGCCAAAAUAAAGGGGGGGAGGUCAGGCUGUGGAAGGUUACCAAACGUUUGUUCCGUCGGCGUUUGUAGGUGAGGUAGUCUGUCGGUGAGAGAGAUAAGUUAAUAAGGUUUGGUUUGUUGAAAUAAAACGCAAUGAAGUUUA